AAUUUUCUGGAGUCAUUCUUUUAUGGGGCUCUUGAUCACAGAUAUAAAGUUUAGCCAUGGAACUCAAAUAAAAUUUUCUCUGAGCUUGAUGCAAGCCUUGUAUAGUUCCAUGAAACCACAUCUUAUUUUGAGUCAUCCUGGAUGGGCACCAAGCACAGGCAUUAAUCUACAACCAUUUUCAUUCAACACAUAUACUGAAGCAAACCUUGACAAAUGAUAGUCCCCACCUUUUAUUCAUAGUUUAAGUUAAAUUACUCUACAUAGAUAACUUCUGCAUGUUCACAUAAAUUAUAAAACUAUCCAACAUAUCUGCAAACCUUGAUCCCCUCAGGCUUGAUGAACCUUCUAGCUUGAUCAAGAAUGGGUUUCAUAGAAGUAUCUUUUAGAUGUAGGGCUAGUUGAGAAAACAGAGCUCUGUCAGUCUUCUGUGUACUGCAGUUGUAGCCUGUUUUAAAAGUAAUAUUGAUUGAGUUAGUGUCACAUUUUCUCUUUUGUCUGUCUGAGGGAGGGAUCAGAUAUUGGGAGUGGGAGAGAGGCUAGAGACUGAAGCAUAACUAAUUCUUCUGAUAGGAAUUUACCCAAGCUGCAUUACGCUUGUUGAUGUUCCAUUCUUCUGUGUUUGUGGCUGGCUUAGCUGGAGAUUGAUUGGUGCGUGUAGAUCAUAUCCGUUUCUGAUUGUAUGUGUAGCCUGAACACCCCCGUUUGGUUCACUUCCACAUCCUUUCUCAGAAACCUUGAAUAGAUAACUUUGCUUAGAUUAAGGUCGGGGGGGCUUCUAUGCGUGUGGUAAAAUUUUAAUGUAAAAUCGCAUUUUGUGGUGCAUACUUAAACAACAAGUGGAGAAUACUCUCUAAAUUAGUACCUUCUGCAAUUCUGUAUACUCUUGUUGAAUAAGGUUUACCCUCGUAUAGGGUUUUAUAUUUUCUUGAUGAAUAAGGUUGCCCUACAGAAGCAAUAUUAAUCAUCUUGGUAUAAAGAUUAAAGACUAGAAUAUGGAAGCUGUUUUAGUUUUUGUAAGAUCUUCCGAUUUAGUUCUCUGAUUUCAUCGGUCAAAAUCUGCUACUGCAAGAAGAGAGUAAUACAUUCAGGAUCCUUUUAAUAAAAAAAGAAAGACUCAUACAUUCGGGAGAAAUCGUUUCUUGAACACAAAAGAAUUUCGAAAGUGUAGAUUUUACCUUUUGCUUUCGAACCCCUUUCAAACUCAUUUCAAUUUGAUUUUCCUGAUUUGUUAGAUCUUUGGUGCUGUGUCCAGAAAGUUCUUCACCAAGAAGCUUCCUGCGGUUCAUAAAAAAGAAAAUUUUCCAACAGAGAAGUCCCUUGGGUAUGGUGCGUCCACCUGUUGCUUUAAAGGGAGCUUACAAGCCAAGAUCAAGAAAGUUUUGCCAAUAGAGACUCGUGGAACCUUGAACUCAUGAUACUCUACUAGCUUGUCUCACUGAUACAUUGAUUUGUUUUUCGAUAGAUUACUUAUGAGCAAGUGUUUUAGUCAUAGGUGUUGAUAUGAGGAUUACAUCAUUUAUGAGCUUAGAAGUUUGUCAAGACUUUGGACUGGAAGUUUGUCGCUGUUUGGUCUGUAUACAGUGUCAUUACUACAUUGAAAAAGGUCAUUAUGCAGAAAAUUUGAAACUUCAUUUUAGAAACUCUUUCUUGUUAUGCCAUUGGUGUUAAAAAAAUUAGUUUCUGGUGAUGGGAGUUAUGUAUUUUCUGAUA